GGGCGCGUGGCCUAGUGGACAGGGCAAGGGGUUCCUAACUCCUGGAUCGCGGGUUCGAAUCCCGCCGCGCCCG
rnacentral:tRNA from 1 species